GGGGCUGGUGCGGGUGGGGGCGCCUGCUGCUCGCCUGGCUCGCGCCACUGGUCGUUGCUGGCUGGUGACAUGCUUGUGAGCUGCAGACGCUGCUGCCUCCAAGGUGAGCCAGGCACCGACUCGCCAGCGGCGUGAGCAGAGCUCGGGGUGGCGGUGGAACUGGGGGCCCGGAUGGAUGGAGAGGCCUGACUUGGCCUCCUUAGCUUCUCCGCCUGCCGGUGGUCUUUCCUUUGCUUCGGGGCCGCCUGAAGGCUGCGCCUUCGCUUGGCUGUGGGAGGCGGGAGGGAGUAGUGGGGAAGGGAGGAAGCCAAAGGCCCUGGGCCCAGAGGGAAGGUGGUUCCUGAGUGUGAAGCAGGAGCUGCCGCCCCACCGUAUGUCAGGCUCAGCUUCCAACCUCGGGGUGGUCUUCAGAGCCGUCCCCAGGUACGUGGUGGGCGUACUUAGUUUGUGUUGGUGGUGUGCGACUGAGAGCCUGUAUAGGAAGAGUACGACGUUGCACAUUGUCCCCAAAUAGCAUUCUUCACUGCCAGAAUCCCUGAGCUCUGGACUCGAAUUUUAUAUCAGAAACCGAAGCGUCAGGCGGCUCCUCUGAGAAUUUAUAUUUGCGUUAGCUGUCAGGUUCACUCCUAGGCCAUUAGUGGCUUAAGUGAUGGCCAUUCAGUAUUCCGAAUGAUAGGGAUGACUUAUUUUAUUCCAUGCAUCUAAGCUGCUGUAUUUAAAAAAGGUAUAGAUGUAAUAAAAGCAUUAAAAAACCCCCAAACUUUUGGCAAAAUGUCAAUGUCACAAUCAACCAUCACGGUGGUAGGACUUGGUAAUG
rnacentral:lncRNA from 1 species